CUCCCGGCACGGGGAGGUAGUGACGAAAAAUAACGAUACGGGACUCAUCCGAGGCCCCGUGAUCGGAAUGAGUACACUUUAAAUCCUUUAACGAGGAUCGAUUGGAGGGCAAGUCUGGUGCCAGCAGCCGCGGUAAUUCCAGCUCCAAUAGCGUAUAUUAAAGUUGUUGCGGUUAAAAAGCUCGUAGUCGAAAUUGUGUCCGCGGCCGUCGGUUCGUCGCUCGCGACGCCAACCGGCCGGCGCGCGGACGUCCAGCCGGUGCCACGAACUCACACAUGGGUGCUCUUAAUCGAGUGUCCGCGCGGGCGGGGGCCGGCGACGUUACUUUGAACAAACUAAAGUGCUUAAAGCAGGCCAAAUCACGCUCGUAUACGUACGCGCAUGGAAUAAUCGAAUAGGACCUCCGUUCUAUUUUGUUGGGUUUUGUAGAACGCAAAUACUUACACGGAGGUAAUGAUCAAUGGGUGCGGAUGGGGGCAUUCGUAUUGCGACGUUAGAGGUGAAAUUCUUGGACCGUCGCAAGACGGACUAGAGCGAAAGCAUUUGCCAAAAACGCUUUCAUCGAUCAAGAACGAAAGUUAGAGGUUCGAAGGCGAUCAGAUACCGCCCUAGUUCUAACCAUAAACUAUGCCAGCUAGCGAUCCGCCGAAGUUACUACUAUGACUCGGCGGGCGGCUUCCGGGAAACCGAAGCUUACGGGUUCCGGGGGAAGUAUAGUUGCAAAGCUGAAACUUAAAGGAAUUGACGGAAGGGCACCACCAGGAGUGGAGCCUGCGGCUUAAUUUGACUCAACACGGGAAACCUCACCAGGCCCGGACACCGGAAGGAUUGACAGAUUGAGAGCUCUUUCUUGAUUCGGUGCAUGGUGGUGCAUGGCCGU
rnacentral:rRNA from 1 species